ACACAUUCCAGCCAAUCAGCAGCAGACCCUCCCUCCCAGACCCUCCCACCUCCUGGACAGCAUCCAUUUUUAAGCUGCAUUCUUAGUGAGCUGUCCAGGAGGUGGGAGGGUCUGGGAGGGAGAGUCUGCUGCUGAUGGCUGAAAUGUGUCA
rnacentral:miRNA from 1 species